GACGAACGCUGGCGGCGUGCUUAACACAUGCAAGUCGAACGGAAAGGCCCUGCUUUUGUGGGGUGCUCGAGUGGCGAACGGGUGAGUAACACGUGAGUAACCUGCCCUUGACUUUGGGAUAACUUCAGGAAACUGGGGCUAAUACCCGAUAGGAGCUCCUGCUGCAUGGUGGGGGUUGGAAAGUUCCGGCGGUUGGGGAUGGAUUCGCGGCUUAUCAGCUUGUUUGUGGGGUAGUGGCUUUCCAAGGGUUUGACGGGUAGCCCGCAUGAGAGGGUGACCGGCGACAAUGGGACUGAGAGACGGCGCAGUAGCCUAUGGGAGGCAGCGGGGGGGAAUAUGACACAGUGGGGGGGAGCCAGAGGCAGCAACGCCGCGUGCGGGAUGACGGCCUUCGGGUGAUAAACCGCUUUCGCCGGAGACGAAGCGGGAUUGACGGUAACGGGUAAAGAAGCACCGGCUAACUACGUG
rnacentral:rRNA from 1 species